GAUACAAAUGAAAUCCCGCCCUAAUUCGACAUUGCAAGCUUCAUACGCCGCACGCAACAUUUUCGUUUCACUCUCUUCUCCAUCCAUUUUCCUCCAUUUUAAUUUCCUCCUUGAGUUUCUUAAGCUUCCACUAGUUUCAUUCCUCUGAGAAAUUGUUUGCUAAACAUCAUUACCUUCCUAAGCUUCUUUGCUCUCCAAACGUUGCCCUAAUUUUUUCCCUUUUUUCCUUCUCUUCGUUAUCUCCAAAAGUAUAAUUAAGCAGCUCAUCUAAAAUCUCUUCAAUUCAGCAAUUCUACACUUAAUCAGGUCAAAAUAGGAUGAAAAUGGCAGCUUCACCGAGGAUUUCGAUUGCAGCACUCAUUCAUUACACUAAUCAUCAUCUAAUUUUUCUCAAUCUUCUACUUUCUACUUUGUGUAUGAAGUUGAAGAAGGGGCGUCGGAGAUCAGAGUGAGAAAUUGAUAUUACUGAGUUGUAAAUUGUCCAUUGUAUUGCAUUUUCCUGUUGUGAAUGUUUUAAAUGCUUGUUACCUUAUAAAUCAAACUCCCACUCUAUUUUACAUGGCAAAUCUUCUUAUAAGUUCUUUUUGGGGUUUUCUUGUUAUCUUGAUAUAUGGACCAAGUUGUAGUCUUUUUUUAUUUUCAGAUUCAGAUACUGGGUUGAUUGGAAUUUUAAAUUUGAAUAACUGAGAUAUUGUGUAUCAGAUGAUUACAGAAUUAGGAAGACCUCAAAGCAUUGAUGACCAUCAAAAUUGAUCAGGGAGUAUAGUCUUUGAGUGUAGAAUGAGAUUGUGCUUAUAAUGAUAAUGAUGAUGGCCAAUCAGAAAGGUACAUUUUUCUUCUGAUGUCAUUUAUAUAUUGAUAAUGCAUGAGAGCAUAAAAAGAACUAGUGCACAAAUGUUAGAUAAGUUAUUGUGUGUCAAAUUACAAAGGAUUAAAUAAAAGUGGCCACCAAGGAACGACUACGAUAAUUAUAAAUACCAAAUACAAGUAUCCAAAAGCACUUAUCAAGGCUUUUUACAUAGGCUUUUUGUUUUAUAUUGUAAUAUCAUGUCAGUGAUUUUUUUUUAAUAUUUGUAGUUUUAGAUAUUUUGUUUGUUACAAUUGACAAAAUAUAAUGUAAUAAUCAAAGAUA